rnacentral:rRNA from 1 species
GACGAACGCUGGCGGCGUGCUUAACACAUGCAAGUCGAACGGAAAGGCCCUGCUUUUGUGGGGUGCUCGAGUGGCGAACGGGUGAGUAACACGUGAGUAACCUGCCCUUGCCUUUGGGAUAACUUCAGGAAACUGGGGCUAAUACCGGAUAGGAGCUCCUGCUUCAUGGUGGGGGUUGGAAAGUUUCGGCGGUUGGGGUUGGAUUCGCGGCUUAUCAGCUGGUUGGUGGGGUAGUGGCUUACCAAGGCUUUGACGGGUAGCCGGCCUGAGAGGGUGACCGGCCACAUUGGGACUGAGAUGCGGCCCAGACUCCUACGGGAGGCAGCAGUGGGGAAUAUUGCACAAUGGGCGGAAGCCUGAUGCAGCAACGCCGCGUGCGGGAUGACGGCCUUCGGGUUGUAAACCGCUUUCGCCUGUGACGAAGCGUGAGAGACGGUAAUGGGUAAAGAAGCACCGGCUAACUACGAG